AGGGUUGUGGCUUAGUGGUAGAGCGUUUGCCUCACAUGCAUGAGGUACUGGGUUGGAUUCUCAGCACCACAU
rnacentral:tRNA from 1 species